UACGUAGGGGGCUAGCGUUAUCCGGAAUUACUGGGCGUAAAGGGUGCGUAGGUGGUUUCUUAAGUCAGAGGUGAAAGGCUACGGCUCAACCGUAGUAAGCCUUUGAAACUGGGAAACUUGAGUGCAGGAGAGGAGAGUGGAAUUCCUAGUGUAGUGGUGAAAUGCGUAGAUAUUAGGAGGAACACCAGUUGCGAAGGCGGCUCUCUGGACUGUAACUGACACUGAGGCACGAAAGCGUGGGGAGCAAACAGGAUUAGAUACCCGGGUAGUCCCUGAGCGGG
rnacentral:rRNA from 1 species